GUACUCGCUUCGGCAGCACAUUCACUAAAAUUGGAACGAUGCAGAGGUUAGCACGGCACCUGCACAAGGAUGACACGCAAAUUCAUAAAGCGUUCCGUGUUAAA